CAAUUUUCAGUGAGGUUUUUGCAAAGUGUGCCUUAUCGCAAUUUGCUGGACCAACUUUUCACAAAAAUCUCUCCAAUGGUCAAACAAAUAUGGCAAAAAUCGAUUCGGGAGCCGGACAAAGGUGUGUGACAGCCAAUACUCCGAAGGGAUGUCGGGCCAAGGACAAUAGGGUGUUGACAAGUCCUUGACCGGGAAGAACAACUUGUGUCCCAACAUCACCUCCGGAAGGGUCAGGUUCCCAACACUGUUGGACACUAACCUUAUUGCUUCCUACCAGAAACGAAACUGCUUAACCAAUUGAGAACCUUACCUUGGAUCCCAGUCUCAUGGAGCCUGUUAACUAAACGACCAUGAUCUACCUUGUCAAAGGCCUUGGCAAAGUCGAGAUAAACUACAUCAACUGAUUCAUGGCUCUCUAGUCCCUCAAUAACCUGCUCAAUAUGAUCAAUCAGUUGGGUAGCCGUGCUAAAAUGUGCUCGGAACCCAUGCUGGCCAGGAGGAAGGACAUCAUGAAUGUCAAUAAAUUCAACAAGUUUGAACUUCAGGAUCUUCUCAAACACCUUCACAAUAUUCGAAGUGAGAGAAAUCGGCCUGUAGUUACUGGGGAGUGACUUAUCUCCCCCUUUGAAAAUCGGAACAACAUGAGCUAACUUUAGUGAAGAUGGAAAUUUGCCCUGAUCGAAGAUGCAAUGCAUCAAGUACGAGAAAACAGGAGCAAGAACCAGUGAGCAUCUCAUCAGAAACUGAGAUGUCACACCAUCAGGACCAAGAGAACUUGAAAGCCUCAAGUCCCUGAUUGCCUCAAAAGCAUCUUGCUCUGUGACUACAAGAUCUUCGAAACGCUCAACUUGACUAAUCUUGUCAAUCUCAACAGACUCAUCUUCCGAGCAAUGUGCUGUUGCUUCUGAACUCAGUGGGGUUGACGACACACUUUGUUUAAUUAACACAAACUAUUUCUUUGUUUUAUUUGGUCUUUAAUACUAUUUUGAAGUGCAUUACAUGGUGCUUUUGCCCGUUAACUAACUUAAACAUUAUGAGAAGCUGUGCUAGAACCGGCUUGAAAAAUUGUUGGAUUUUAAAAUCAACUACAUCCACUCAAAAUCUCUCUGUGUACUCACCCGUCGUCAUCUUGGUCAUGAGCAUCUCUGAUAGUCUUGCCAGCUUUGACAUUGUAGUUCCAUGAGAUGUAAUUGAUCCAAUGUGAAAACAUAUUAAUUAUACAAUUAACCAAUGAACUUAUGAACCACACGGACCUACUAAACUCCGUGAUUGCAAAUGGUAAUAAGAUUAACUUACAGUGCGUUGAUUAGUUUGUUGACACUCGAGGGCUAGUUGCAACAAUGAAGUCGGCCUAUAGAGGCCCUCAUGCCUAGAGAAGAAAUAUUGAUAACGCCCUUCUCGAAGACGUUCGAGCAAUGCGUUACCCCUAAGUUAGAUGAAUGCCGUCUGAGGGAGUGCUUAAUCACGGCCUCCAUGGUUUAAUCAACUUUUCCCUUCCAAUCAAAUAUCCAAUAAGAAGGCAACGCAACCCUUUGAACGUCUUCUAGAGAGGAUUCCAAAAGCUGUCCUGUCCAGUCCUGAGGGACUCCAUGGUCUGCCUUUCUUCUCAUUCCCACUACUACUCAAGAAUGCUUUUCUUUCUCCUUUUUCUUUGCCUUUAGUGCUGUGUCAAAGAAGUACCCAUCCAUUCUAAGGUGACAAUCUUUGUAACCAAAAUGUAGUUUUCAGCAUCGAAAAAAAAUUAAAAAAGCAGUCAAAUCUCAUUAACCGGGUUUGAUCCCCAACCAAGAAAAGGGUUUAAUUCAAGGAUUGAAUCUCAUUUUCAUUAUUGAAGCACAAAUAAGGAAACAUCUUGAGUAUCGAAAUUGCACCAUUUCCAUACCAAAGUCUGAUUCAAUGCUGUAUUUCCCUUUGCCCACUACCUCGGGCUUUCAUGUCCAUGCUUCACGACGUGUCUUGUUGUCUGUAAAGACACUUGUUUUGUCCCGUCCCUUGAUUAUAAAUCAGAACGUUCAAUGGUCAAAGUCACCAUUCAUCAUGAACGGACCGCUGUAUCCUGUUUUCUUUUGAUUGGAUCUACUUGGCUCACCAUUGAAACACGGGACCUAAAAGAUGUUCGUUGUUUGAGAAGCUAUGAAUGGAACAAUCGAACUUGGACAACAAUUGAGGAUGUCGUUUGUGGUGGGAAUUGCCAAAUCAAAUGUCCUGAGUUGAGCGCCGAGAUCAACUAUUUCACCUCUGACGCCUCAACUGGCCAAUGUUUGUGCAACGUUCUUUGCAACAUUGACCGAGGACUUGAAGCCCAAGGAGCCCUAACUGGAUUGGUCUCUGAUCAGGAUCCAAGUGAACUCUUCAAUUCAGGUGGGGACAGGGUCACGAACCACAAAUUGUGGUUGCUUCUCUGUCAGCUCGGGUUUGUCCCUCAGAUUUUGGCCAAUUUGAAUUCAAACACUUUGGAAUCCUCAAAGGUGUUUUUGAUAGAGUUAAAACACAAAAGGGUAUGUACUUGCAUCAAUUCGGUUAAGGCUGAAAAAAACACAUUGGCAUGGCUUGACCAAGUGCUUUGUAGCCACUAGGCUUCACUAAGAAUAAUUUGAACUCGUUCUUUCCUCCGUAUCUUAAAUAUUAUAGGUGGUAAAAGCACGUCAAGCAAAUAAGUAACAACAACCUUUUCAAUGCUAAAGAAUGUGCUGCUGCCAUUUGUGAAUAAAUCAUCUAGUGCACUUUCUUGUUUUCAUUGUAUUCAAGCUGGUCAAAUGACUAGUUUCUCGUUGCUUCCACAGCCCCCAACAAAAACAAGCCCAUUUUCAACCCGACAGGCGAAAACAGAAUGCACUCAAAAAUAGAGAUACAAUUGCUUGCCUUAUUUAAGAGCACUUGAAUUGAAAAAUGUUCCAUCACCGAAAGAGGGGGUGGAUGGCGGGUACUUUUGAUUGUCUAUGUUCAUCUCUUGGCCUCAAUCUUUUAGCUUGAACAAUCACUUUACAAUUCAGAGCCAAGUUUUUGCCCCAAAUCUCAUCCUUGGGCCAUUGCCAAGUGACAGCGCUGCUGAGAAAGGUUUCAUCGCGAGAAGGACACUCUUGAAGUAUUGGACUGGAAUGAUCAAGAGUCGCUUUGUCCUGGAGGCAACUCCAUCCCACGUCAAAGGGGAACGAAUUGCCACAAAUUCAAAGACUUCACAAGUAAGUUAGGUUCGCCUCCUCAUCUACCCAAUGACCCUAGUAAUACUAAAGAGGUUAUUCUUUCCCAAUUUGAUGGUUCAAGAGCCUGAGUAUUGUCCGAAGGAAUAUUCAUUUCAAAUUCGGAAUGCAUGAUGCAAAGUCAAAAUUAGAACUUUGAAAGGCAAGUGUGGUGGUGGCAUAAUGGGCAUUGUUGAUUGUAUGAUUGGGGGGGACAGCACAAAAAUAUCACAACAGGUUUCGUGGGAAUGACUAGAUUUGUUCCAAACAACUGACUAGAUAAACAUGCAAAUAAAAUAGAUAAUGUAUAGAUGACUAUAGUAGAUUGAUUUGGUGACUUGGAGGAUUGACUACAUGUUGCAGGGUUUGACUUAGAUCCAUCCUCUUUCCGAGUCACCAAGUCCACCUGUCCUCAACGAUCAAGGGGUUGAUGCCGCCCCCAGCGACUCAGACACCCCACGGUCAACAUGGCCCAGUCACCGCUGCAUCCACGGACCUUCGCUGCACCCACGGGCAGGUCACUGCAACCACGGGCCUUCUGCACGCACCACGCUCUCGUUGUGACCACGGCCAUCCCGCUGCACCAUGCCCACCCGUUGCAACCACGGCCAUCCCGCAGGCCUCACAUCUCUUCUGGGCCCCAAGUUCCGCAUUGGCGUCCUCAGCCGUCUGGGGGAAGGUUCUUCCGCCUGGAAGCGGCUACUACCGGCUGUGCCAUGUAUGAGUACCGGAUGGUGGAUGUUGACUACAUUGAUCGAUUGUGGAGGCUGUCAUCUGAAGGGUUUUGGCUACAUGGAAAAUGAUUUGGGGCCACCCCGUUUGCCAAUCUUUCCUUUAGCUAAUCAUUUUGAGUGUCAACUUGCCUGUCAAAAGGAACCAGCUUGCCAGGUGUACUCGUAUCAUGAAACAAGUAUGUUCCAUGCCCCCGGAUACUGUUGGUUGAAGUCAAGUGGAAGUGGUCGAGUUGUUAAAGAUUGGCCUGGCAAGUGGUCCGGUCCAAAAUUCUGCCCCUAAGGUUGCACAAGUUCAUUCAAGCAAUGUCACUCUUGGAAGACUCCGACUGCAUACUGUUUGCAAGCAGGCGCAGCCAACCAAUUGUUGAAAUAUCGAUUUGAAGCAAACCGAUCUAACGUGUUGUUAUUUUGAUAUUUUGAAUGGAUGCAGAACAUGGAUGCUAUUUUUCAUUUCACCCAAACAACACGUGAAUAAAUCAUAACAUUCU